rnacentral:rRNA from 1 species
GAUGAACGCUGGCGGCGUGCCUAAUACAUGCAAGUCGAGCGAACGGACGAGAAGCUUGCUUCUCUGAUGUUGUCGGCGGACGGGUGAGUAACACGUGGAUAACCUACCUAUAAGACUGGGAUAACUUCGGGAAACCGGAGCUCAUACCGGAUAAUAUUUUGAACCUCAUGGUUCAAAAGUGAAAGACGGUCUUUCUGUCACUUAUAGAUGGAUUCGGGCUGGAUUAGCUAGUUGGUAAGGUAACGGCUUACCAAGGCAACGAUGCAUAGCCGACCUGAGAGGGUGAUCGGCCACACUGUAACUGAGACACGGUCCAGACUCCUACGGGAGGCAGCAGUAGGGAAUCUUCCGCAAUGGGCGAAAGCCUAACGGAGCAACGCCGCGUGAGUGAUGAAGGUCUUCUGAUCGUAAAACUCUGUUAUUAGGGAAGAACAUAUGUUUAAUUAACUGUGCACAUCUUGACGGUACCUAAUCAGAAAGCCACGGCUAACUACGUG